rnacentral:rRNA from 1 species
ACCAUGUGACGUUACCAAACUGUUGCCUCGGCGGGGUCACGCCCCGGGUGCGUAAAAGCCCCGGAACCAGGCGCCCGCCGGAGGAACCAACCAAACUCUUUCUGUAGUCCCCUCGCGGACGUAUUUCUUACAGCUCUGAGCAAAAAUUCAAAAUGAAUCAAAACUUUCAACAACGGAUCUCUUGGUUCUGGCAUCGAUGAAGAACGCAGCGAAAUGCGAUAAGUAAUGUGAAUUGCAGAAUUCAGUGAAUCAUCGAAUCUUUGAACGCACAUUGCGCCCGCCAGUAUUCUGGCGGGCAUGCCUGUCCGAGCGUCAUUUCAACCCUCGAACCCCUCCGGGGGGUCGGCGUUGGGGAUCGGGACCCCUCACCGGGUGCCGGCCCUGAAAUACAGUGGCGGUCUCGCCGCAGCCUCUCCUGCGCAGUAGUUUGCACAACUCGCACCGGGAGCGCGGCGCGUCCACGUCCGUAAAACACCCAACUUCUGAAAUGUUGACCUCGGAUCAGGUAGGAAUACCCGCUGAACUUAAGCAUAUCAAUAAGCGGAGGGAAAAAGAAAA